rnacentral:snoRNA from 1 species
UGUACCAAUGGCAAGAGUGUGUCAUGAGCCGAAGAUUAUGAUUAAACUAUCUCUGCAUAUCUGAGACCUA